AACGAACGCUGGCGGCAUGCCUAACACAUGCAAGUCGAACGAGACCUUCGGGUCUAGUGGCGCACGGGUGCGUAACGCGUGGGAAUCUACCCUUGGGUUCGGAAUAACAGUUAGAAAUGACUGCUAAAACCGGAUGAUGACGUAAGUCCAAAGAUUUAUCGCCCAAGGAUGAGCCCGCGUAAGAUUAGCUUGUUGGUGGGGUAAUGGCCUACCAAGGCGACGAUCUUUAGCUGGUCUGAGAGGAUGAUCAGCCACACUGGGACUGAGACACGGCCCAGACUCCUACGGGAGGCAGCAGUGGGGAAUAUUGGACAAUGGGCGAAAGCCUGAUCCAGCAAUGCCGCGUGAGUGAUGAAGGCCUUAGGGUUGUAAAGCUCUUUUACCAGGGAUGAUAAUGACAGUACCUGGAGAAUAAGCUCCGGCCAACUCCGUGCCAGCAGCCGCAGUAA
rnacentral:rRNA from 1 species